UACGUAGGGGGCAAGCGUUGUCCGGAUUUAUUGGGCGUAAAGAGCGUGUAGGCGGUUUGGUAGGUCCGCUGUGAAAACUCGAGGCUCAACUUCGAGACGCCGGUGGAAACCAUCAGACUAGAGUCCGGAAGAGGAGAGUGGAAUUCCUGGUGUAGCGGUGAAAUGCGCAGAUAUCAGGAAGAACACCCGUGGCUAAGGCGGCUCUCUAGUACGGUACUGACGCUGAGGCGCGAAGGCUAGGGGAGCAAACAGG
rnacentral:rRNA from 1 species